rnacentral:lncRNA from 1 species
ACAUAGGGAGAUUUAUGAAUUGUGGGUAUACUUAGUUGAGAAAUAUGUGUUACUCUUAUGUGUUGAGGCUCAGUCAUUGGGUGUUAUUUUGUUACAGUCCACUCUGUAGAUCAAGGACAUUAAAUUCUCUGGGUUUCAAUUUUCUUACAUUUAAAAUGGGGAUAAACGUGUGUGUAAAAAAAUAAAAUAAAAUAAAAAAUAAAAAAAAGAAAGGAGUUCCUCUCUUGGCUUAGCAGUUAACCAACCCAACUAGUAUCCAUAAGGAUGUGGUUCAAUCCCUGGCCUCUCUCAGUGGGUUAAGGAUCUGGCAUUGCUGUGAGCUAUGGUGUAGGUCGUAGGUUUGGCUUAGAUCCCACAUUGCUUCGGCUCUGGCAUAGGCUUGUGGCUACAGCUCCGAUUGGACCCCUAGCCUAAGAACCUCCAUAUGCCAUGGGUGCGGCCCUAAAAGAGACAAAAAAAAAGUAUGUGUGUCUGGGUCACCUUGCUGUACAGUAGAAAAUUUACAGAACACUGGAAACAGCUAUAAUGGAAAAAAUUAAAAAUUAUAGAAUUAUAUUGAGCAUAAAAAAUAAAAAGGGGAUAGUAAUAAUUUUUGUAGUUUACCGUUUGCUUAGUAUUUAUCACAUGCCAGACAUAAGUUUUGAGUUCCUUAUAUGAAUUAUCAGAUCAUUCUUGCCACUUUCCUGAAAGACAGGCAUCAUUUUUUAUUCCCAUUUUGCAUAUGAGGAAAGUGAGGCAAAGAAAAAGGAUUCCCAAAGUCAUAGAGCUACUAUGUAAUAUGAAGCUGAGAACUCAGGCAAUCUGGUCCCAAUACCAGACACUGAACCCAGUACCUACUGCUUUGUAAUAUGAUGUUGUGUGGUUGUUUUGAGUAUCAGAAGAGCUAAUGCUGUAUUUAGCCCAGGGCCUGAGAUGGACACCUCUAUGUGGGAUAGCUACUUGUAACUACUUCAAAAAACAUACAGUCCUGUGGAAGACAUGGAAACAAGUAAAAUCAAUAAAAUGCUAGACGUGUAUAUCAGACUUAUAGCUGUCAUAACAAAUUACCACACACUUAGUGGCUGAAAAUAAUACAAAUAUAUUAUCUUGCCAUUGUGGUGGUUAGCAGUCUGAAAUGGGUGUCAUUGGGUUAAACUCAAGAUUUUAACAGAGUUGCAUUCCUUCUACAAAUGUGUUUUCUUGACUUCCAAUUUCCAGGUGCUACCUGCCUUCCUUGUCUUUAGCCCCCACUCCAUCUUCAAAAUCAGCGAUGGCAUCACUUCAACCUCUGCCUCCAUUGUCACACCUUCUCUGACUCCUUCACACUCCUGCUUGAAACAGGAGGACCCUUGUUAUUACCUUGGACAGUCCAAGAUAAUUUACCCAUCUCAAGAUUUGUAACUUAACCUUACCUAUAAAGACCUCUUUGCCAUGUAAAAUAACAGAUACACAGGUUCUGAGGAUUAGGGUGUGGACGUCUUUGAGGAGGGGGCUUUAUUCUGCCUAUCACAAUGCUUUUAGAGAUGUUCACACAUACACACAAGGACACGCAUGCACAUACAUGCACACACAAGUUACAAAGAAGAGGGCUAUGAAAGUCAAGAAAGUUUAUUGAAGAAGUACUUAAAUAUAAUGUUAAUUAUUGAUAGCUUUUUCAUUAGUCAAGCAUGGAAGGAGGAAAUGUAUUUCCAAGACCCUCCAAUCCUGAAACGGUCAGGACACCAGGUUUCACUUGUAGUUCUAAUGAUUGGAGGACUGGUUUCUGGGGGUGGCGAUGUGUGGAGUUAAAACCAAGUGGUAAGUAGGGGUGAGAUAAUUGAUUUCACUGAGUGAUGAACUAAGGCAUUUGGAUUUUAUUGUCUGACAGUGGGCUUCUUUUUCCUGUGAGACCCAGUAGAGUACACAUAGCAGAUUCUCAGUAAAUACUAUUGAUUCACAAAUCAUGCAACUGAAUAAAUACAGGGGUAAUUACAAAGUUUGGUCAGGAAAAAUAAACCUACUGAUAACUCCUUAUCUGUUCUGAGAGCAGUAUCUGACUUGAGCAUUCAAUUGAUCUCCAUCAUGUUCCACUGGGAAGUAGAAAAGCAUUGUUUCUCCAUGAACUGCCCUGGGCAGCCUUAGUCACACACUAGGGUUAGGAAGCCACUUUAAUUUAAAGGAGCUCUUGCUCUCUUAGGCCAAAAUGUGCUGUUGGAGGGUGGGUUACAAUAGUCAGCUUGGGACCUCUACACGUAUGAUGGCACGUUAAUGUGCCAACUUGGGGACAUUCUACUCUGCACCUUCACUCACCCCCACAGAAUAAUGUGAAUUAGGCUUUAACCCAAAUGUAGACAGGACUCUGUGUGAGUGAGAUAAGAAUGUUCACCAACACAAUGGGGUUUGUUUUCUGGGCUCACUGCAUAUUCAGAUCACAUUCUUUUACCUCUCUGUGUUGACACGCUUGUCUGAGUGCAAGCUGUACCCUGUGGCCACAGAAGAAAUAAACAAAAUCAUCAAUUUUUAUAGCUUCUUUCUACAAGUGGCUCCAAGUUCUCGAGUUGUCUCAUCAUUGCAGCCCAAAGCCCCAGGAGAGGAAUGGACAGGUAUUAUCAAUCAUGCCCUGAUGAAAGAGUAAAGAACACAUUCGUCAGAGUUGUGGCUUUUCCAAGUAUUCCCCUCCUCUCUCUCAGUUCAUUGCAUUUGCUUUCUCCAGACUUAUUUGCUUAUCUUAAGAACAUCCCAAUACAUUGGAAUUCUUAAAAUUUCUCUCUUCUCUGUACUCCUUCCCCUUGGUAGAAUCAAAGGGAAUACUGGCAUUUCUUGAGUUGAACUAUCCUAGUCAAAGUUUUUUGCCCCAAUCUCUAUAAGCAGAGCAGACAAAGGGAGUCCCUUUUUCAAAGAAAAUGGCCAUCUUCUAUUCAUUUGAUUAUUCAUUGACAGAGUAUUACAUAGCAUCCAUGUGACAGUUUGCACAAUACCAUAUUCCUGUGUAUGAGAUAGAAGUACUGUUCCUGUUUUCUCCAAAUAUGUUCAGUUAAUGGGGAAGAUAGAAAUUCUCACUGUGGCACAAUGGGAUCUACGAUGUCUCUGGAGCGCUGGGAUGCAGGUUUGAUCCUUAGCCCGGCACAGUGGGUUAAGUAUCUGGUGCUGCUGUAGCUACGGCAAAGGUCAUAACUGCAGCUGGGAUCUGAUCCCUGGUCCAGGAACUCCAUAUGUCUUGGAGCGGCCAAAACAGAAAACAAACAAACAAAACAGGGAUGGUAGACCUUUGCAAAAUAAAUAAAUGCAUAAAAUAGGAACUCUUCAUUGAGUGCUUAAUCCAGGACAGGAGUACACCUAAAUGAAAAUGCUUUACUCUCUGUAGAUCCCCACAUUAAUUCUAUGAAGUAUAGAUGAUACUGUCCUAUUUCAGAUAACUUGUCAAAAGUCUUAGAGUUCCUAAGUGUUGGAACCAGAAUUCUGCUUCUGAAGCUCCUCCUCUUAUGAUCAGGACUCUGAAAAGAAGCCAGAGUGCCCCAGGAGGCUGCCAUCCAUUAACAUUUGACACUUCCCCAGAAAACCAGAAAUCUACCGCCCCACGUUAUGGCAACUGGUUUUAUAGCCAGGCUGCAUGUUGCAUCUCAUCACCAUGGUAAUGAGAUGCAUUCCUCACUAACCUCUCCCUAGACCUCCCCAGAUCUCCUAUCCCCAGGAGAGCUCCUUGAAGAUCAUUUAUGAAAAUCAGCAGUAAGCACCAGUGGCCUUUUGAAACCUCUCAGAGAGUGCUUAAUGCAGUAAUUGUUUACUCUGAUUUGUAAUGAGAGAGAGUAACAUGGCAAUGUUAGGAACUGAUUAAUUUUGCUCAAUGUAUUCCAGAGCAGAAGGCACCUUGAAGAGCAAGAUUCAUUUUCUUCCCCUGUGGAUUACCCUGUCUUGAUUCAUACAGCCUUACUGUACCCCAGUGGCACACCUCAAAGCACAGCUUGCUUUAGAUUUGCAUACUGUAAAAUUGCUGAGAUAAAUUAUUAUCACAUACAGGAUCAAUUAUCACUUUCUUAACAUCCAAACUGGUGAAAAUGUUGCCACAGAACUACUAGUAUAAAGAAUGGUCCAUGGGUUGCUAGUUCAGAGAAUCUGCAGUUCUGUUUCUCCCCUUUGCAGCAGACACACAGAAAGCAACUAGCAUUUACAGGGUUCAGAGUGGCCAUUUUGAAAUAGCUAAAAAGAAAAAUAAAUACUGAACAGAUGUCACAGGCCAUUGAAUAACUGAAAAAAGAAUACAAGUGAAUGUUUGGGCAAAGUGGAAUUUCUAAGAUUGUGUGUGUGUGUGAGAGAGAGAGAGAAUGAGUUGUGGUGUGUCUUCAUAUUUGGGAAAGGCUUCUUUACGCCAAGUGGGCUUUUGUUACAGGGCAGCAUGUGUGUUGCUGGGGAACUGAGGCCUUGUAAAUUGGCCCUUACCAGCUGCUUUGUCUUGUCUUCUAAAUUGCUUGAAAACCUAUUAAGAUAUAUGACCCACAUAAAAGUAGGACCAGAGGAUUUCUGUAUGAUGGCCCCUGGGGAUCGGAUUUUACUUUAUCGCCCAUUAAUGCAGAAGGGAUUUCAUCAGUCGGCUUACCCUUCCUUCACCCCCAAGGGUUAUAAAAAUCCCAAAGAUUAGCCUCUCUAGGAUAGAAGCAAAGAUGUGAAUACCCAGACAGCUGUUUGACAGGAGGAUGCACAGGGAUUUAAGGGAUGGAGAACAUAUGGAUCAUGGGGUAGAGACAGAAUUUCUGGAGAAAGUUGGUUUGAGAGACAGCACCUCAAAAUAUUAGACACUCAGACUCAUACUUAGAAAUAUAUGAGCAGAUCUUUGUUACUGACACUCUCACAAGAGAGCAGGCUCUUUGUUUUUCUUACAAAGCAGGGCAUUCUCACCCAGACAUCUCUGUUUCCAGUCCUGGCUUCUGUAGCCUGGAUGACAUUCUCACAGGCUUUUAACCAAGUUUAUAAGUUGUGUCAGACUGAGCUUCAAGGCCAUCAUGCUUAAAGUGACAGAAGGAAGCUGAGUCUGGCUACUCAGGCAGGAGAAAGGAGAAUAUUGAACUUGGGGGUGAUAUGUUUAAUUUCCUAAGCCAGAGGGCAUAGAUGUUGGCCUGGGGGCUAGAUUGGACGUAAAACACAUGUUUUGUUUAGUAUGGACUUUUUUUUAAAGCUGUUGAAUUACCAGUAUAUAUAAAUUGAGAGAUCCAAAAAGUAACUGGUUUUCCAGGUGCUCUUGAUAAUAGUCUUCAUUGUUCCCCGUUGUAAUACACCCUCCUGCUUUGUUCCUUUAUGCUCUUGCUGGCACCAGUGAACAUUUCAGUUUGUUAUACUGGAGUUGGCCAGUGGCAUUAUGCGAGUUUUCAACGGCUUUGUCUAAACUUUUGUGAUGGGUCCCUCAAUCCCUUACUUCCGUCUGCUUGUUGGCCUCAGUGAGCUCACCCUCACCCUGACCCCCAGGCCUCCCUUUGCCUCAGUGUCCCAGAUCCUACUGCACUUUGGGUUUCCUUUGCCAAGGACACUCUAGGGAUUUAAUAGAAAGGGUUUGUAAGAUGUCUAAGUUCCCAGGGACAAAGGCACUUCUCAGGUCAGACAUGUCACAUUAAUGCUAUUGAACGAUCGGUUUUGAUCUCGCCUCUGAGAGCUGGUCCAGGGCUUCUUCCCGCUUCAGCUGUAUUGUGCACUCUGGGAUCAUAAGGACACAAAGCGCAGUGGCUCCCUCCGCCCCUUGUAUUCCCCACCCCACAAGAUUGGCAGCCCACUCUCCACAGCCCUGCAUUUAUUACUUGAGAAACGAUUGCCCUCCGUUUAUCUGUGACUGGAUUUUGCUUAAAGAAGGUGGCUUCCUGCCAAAAUGAGAUGCAUGCCUAAUGAACUUGAAUGCUCAGAAGCUUGGGCUUCAUAGAAUCUCUCCCUGUUAGUCUAUAGCCACUGGAAAAAUGAAGACGAUUCUAGAAGGUUAAUACUGGUUGGGUCACUUUCAUGAAUUUGAUUUACCAUGCCCACAGCUCCAUUCACAGAAUUGUAAAUUCUUAUUUUCUAAAAAAAUAUGGACUAGGAAUUGAGAUGGGUGCUUGCUAGUCUUACCUUUUCUGGUAGAAUUAUAGUUUCGGUCAUUUGCUUCUCUUAAAAAAAGGCAAGUAUGAAUGUGCAUAGAGAUGUAGAGCAGGUGAGAGAGUUAUAUUCACUUAUAAUCUUGAAGCAGUUCUUCUGAGAUAAGGAGGGAAAGGAAGCUAUUUGAGUUUCCCAUCUGGAAGUGAAUACUGGUUUCAGAGUCCACAGUGUGUCUGACUCAAAGUAGGAAAUUGGAAAAACUGGGCGAAAUGAUGACUGCAUAGAUUUCCAAUCUCCCCUUGCCUUCUCAAUCCCAUAGAAAAUUAGAUGGUAGGAGUAGCAUGAGUCCUGAAGAUGGAGCGAUUUCAGGCUGUGUAAUACCCUGUUACAGGCUGUGCAGAAACACAACUGAUGGUUUGCAAAAUGCAGUGGCUGCUAAACUCAAGUGUCUGAAAGAUGACAGAUCGCAGCCUGUCCAGUUGUGACCCUGAAAUGACAAAGCCAGAGUAGCUACCCGGCCCCAUUGUUAACUCUUUGAUUUACAUGUGGGAGGCUUCAGCUCAUCUCAUUGGCAAUAAAGUUGCAAUAAUGUGGUCCCUGACCUCACCAGCACCCCUGAUAAGCUCCCUUUCCCCCAGUGUAUUAGCCACACACCAGGAGGAAAAUUAGUGCACUGAAGCAGGGAUUUACCAAAUGUGCUCCCUGGGGAGUGGAAAGAGUUAAUGCAAUUUUCCAACCUGCCUAAUUUACUCUGAGAAGAUAUUAGGGGCUCUGAGAGAAUUGUCCUCAAUGUGUGCCUAUGGAAAAGAGGUUGGGGGGAGUACAAAAUUAGGGAAAGUGUACAAAUGACACUCCUUGCCAAAGAAUCACAUUAUAAUAGAUUUACAUAUAACUCCUUUCCUAGAUUACAAGUGUUUUGACAUUCCAACAGUCUUUCAAAAUAGAUUUUUUUUUAAAUUUUCUAUUUGCAAAUGCCUGUGGAGUAUGGUAGAAACAGCUCUGAGAAUCAGAAAAUCUAGGUUUUAGACUUAGCUCUGCUCUCUCCUAUCUUUCUGUCCCUGAGCUGGUCACUUCUCAACCUUGUCAACUGUAAAAUAAAUAGUUUGAUGAUUUGUAAAGGUCAUUAAGCUUUAUGAUUUAGUGGUUUAAAUGUUUGCAAAUAUCCAUGCAUAGAGCACCUCUUUAUCACAACAUUUUUAAAAUGCAUGUCGUGUCUUUUCUCCUCAUUACCCAGGGCACUGUCCAAAACAAAUUUAUAUAUUCCUUCCUAAUAGAAUAUUUAAGAACAGAUGAAGCUGGUGGGGCUGCCAGGUCACUUUUAUCAGCAGCAAGCACAGUAUGAUUUCUUCUACCUUUAACUGCAGCUGCAUCUGAACAGUGAGAAAGGCUUGAGGACUAUAAACAUGGCCACUCAUGACCCUGUAACUCUUUCCACCUCCCACUUGCCCUGAUUAGUGACCCCUGGGGCUUAACUAUAUCCGGGCAGGCAGGUACGAUCUUUAAAGUGUAGAUACAAUCACUGUUCACAAAACUGUCUCUCAAAAGUAGAAAAUUCCACAAGCAUUUCCAGUUUUGUGGCUGAGAAUAAUGGAAUAAAGAAGUGACAAAAAGGAGGGCUAUG